rnacentral:lncRNA from 1 species
AGUGAAAUACGUAUGUAUUUGUACACUCAAAGGACCAAAUUAACAGUAUGAGAAUGAAUAUUUCUGAAAUUCAUUAGCUAAAUCUGCAAAACACCAAGAAAUGCACAGUUUAUAAUCUAGAAAUAAGGAUUGUAAUUACUUCGUGUAUUUUUUAAUAAUAUUCGAACACUAUCCAAUAGUUCAGUAUUAAAAGAUUAAUCUUUUCUAUACUGUUUAUCUUUGGUGCAUUAUUUUUACUUUGAAGUGCAUAGGCUAUACAUGUUACGUCUUGCGACGCAGUACCGUGCGUAAAGUCUGAGUAUUGAGUUACGUAUUUUAUACAAAGAUGUAAAAUCAUGCACACUAAUCGCUAUUAGUUCAUUGUUUCCAUACUCAAUACUAAUUUGCUAACAUUAACACAUAUAUAAUACAACUACUGGUUACCUGGUAUAAUAUGAUUUACGAUUUGACCUUUUACGAAUGACGAUAUAAAGCGAUGCAUUGUCUUAUUACUAUGUAUGAUUCGUAUCUUGUAUUUAAUGUAAAACACUUGUACAAAUUCAUUGGACUUGAAUGUGAUUAAUUUUUAAAGUACCGGUCUUUGUAAAAAUCAUGAUUCAUGACAUGUCACAGAAGUAAUUGUUUUUGCCCUAUAUCAUAAGAACUUGGGUAGAUGAGUAAAAUUCUGUCUUUAUUUUCCCUGUAUUAUGCCCGUUGCCAUGGUAAUCAUCAAAUCAAAUUUUGCCUGAAUAUGUGAAAAAAGAACCUUUUUGAAAAUAUAAAAUAUAAAAAUGUGUUGUUUAUUUAUUUAUUUUUCUUUAA